GACGAACGCUGGCGGCGCGCUUAACACAUGCAAGUCGAGCGAGAACCAGGGCUUCGGCCCUGGGGACAGCGGCGAACGGGUGAGUAACACGUGAGUAAUCCACCCUCGGCACCGGGAUAGCCCGGGGAAACCCGGAUUAAUACCGGAUGGUCCGUCGGCCCUUCGGGGCGGACGGAAAAGGUAGCUUCGGCCUCUGGCCGAGGACGAGCUCGCGGCGGAUUAGCUUGUUGGCGGGGUAACGGCCCACCAAGGCGACGAUCCGUAGCUGGUCUGAGAGGACGAUCAGCCACACUGGGACUGAGACACGGCCCAGACUCCUACGGGAGGCAGCAGUGGGGAAUCUUGCGCAAUGGGCGAAAGCCUGACGCAGCGACGCCGCGUGCGGGACGAAGGCCCUUGGGUCGUAAACCGCUUUCAGGAGGGACGAAGCCACUCGGGUGAACAGCCCAGAGGGUGACGGUACCUCCAGAAGAAGCCCCGGCUAACUACGUGCCAGCCGCCGCGGUAAAAC
rnacentral:rRNA from 1 species